rnacentral:rRNA from 1 species
AACGAACGCUGGCGGCGUGCCUAAUACAUGCAAGUCGAACGAGAUAGUGUAGCAAUACAUGUGUAAAGUGGCAGACGGGUGAGUAAUACAUAGGUAACUUUCCUCCAAGAUGGGGACAACCUUCCGAAAGGAGGGCUAAUACCGAAUAAGACCACAGUGACUUCGGUCACAGGGGUUAAAGGUGGCCUCUAUUUAUAAGCUACCACUUGGAGAUAGGCUUAUGCACCAUCAGGUAGUUGGUAAGGUAACGGCUUACCAAGCCUUUGACGGUUAGCUG